ensembl:lncRNA POLR1HASP POLR1H antisense, pseudogene
AGAGAUGGAGACUAACGUCUUCCAAGGGAGAUUGCGUCUCCACUUUCACCCUGGUACUGAGAGGUUGAGCACAAAAUUGGAACGCAGUCGCGGGGUAUAUCCCCCUGAAAACCGUACGUUGCCAAAUAAUGAUUUCUUUGGAUUAGAGAACUACAACUCCCCUGGGUCCUGAGCCGGUAUUUCCCUUUUGCGGCUGCACCGUAGUUAAAAACAAAGCUAAGUGUUCUGGGACGUAUAGUUCUAGCGUUCCUUGGGUCCCGCUGGCGAGCGUGGGCUUUCUGCAGCUCGCAACCGGCCUCGUGCUUUGCGGACGGUUCACUGCGCUUGGAAAGGGAUUGGCCUGGGGUACAUCAUCUAAAGAUCCUAGGAUUGCUGCAGGUCAGCAGUCUCCACUGGAAAAAAAGAUCUUGGUAAGUAAAUUAUCUUCACAUCAUACAGUUUGGAACUACACAGAGAAGGAAUCUUAGGUUUAAAAUCCUUCUGCCCAAGUGACACAUUCAGGUAGUAUGUCUACACUGGCAAAUGUUACCCAGCUAUAUCCACAGUUGCAAAACAAAGUAUCAUUUUUGGAAACUUCCAACACCAUACAUUUUUAAACCUAGUUACUGAUUUGUGGUGGUGAGUACUUAAUACUUUCAGAGCUCCCAGGCUCACCUGGGAGUGAUGGGAAUAAAAUAACAACUAAGCUAAAGUAAAGAGCAUGUAGCUUUUCCUGGUGUCAUUAGGGAGGGUGGGCUUGGCUCCUGUUUAAAUGUGUUCAAAGGAAAAAGAUGAUCACAUUAUAAAUUUCUGACUUCACUUUGACAGAAUCUAGGUGGUGUGCAUACAACAGCAGCAAGACAGUUGAUAAUGCAGAAAUAUCAGGAGGAGUGUGAAAUACUCUGUAGGGAGCAAGCUGUUUCUCUUGACUACUGGCUUGCCAAAGCAGAGUCUUAUUAUAAUAAAAUAAUAGUGGAAAUGAUGAAAGAAGAGACAGGCAAUGAAAUCUAGAAAAAAA